rfam:Arthrobacter crystallopoietes BAB-32 contig91, whole genome shotgun sequence.
GCGCGAGUGGCGAAAUUGGCAGACGCGCUGGAUUUAGGUUCCAGUGUCUUCGGACGUGCGGGUUCAAGUCCCGCCUUGCGCA